CUGCGAAGGGCAUCCCUUACCCCACUCAGCCUUGCCCCUCUCUGCAUUCUGUUUUGUCUGUCAGCCGCUCGAUUCGUCGCGCGCGUCACAGCGAACCUCCAUGAGCGUCGAGGAGCUGCAGCCAAGUUCGCCGGUGGCAGUGAACGAUGACGCCGAGGACGUGGUGGAAGCGGAGUUGGUCGCUUACGACGCACAUCACACGCACCUCGUCGAAGGCGACUUUUUCCCGGCCGAGGCGCCGGAGGUCGAGGCUGAUGGAGCAGUCGCUGACGCUACUGAAGAAGUCGACGCGCUCGUUGACGCGAUUGCCGCCGAAGCAGCGGCAGUGGCCGCAGUGUCGGUGGUGUCAACACCGCCAAAGCCGGCCGAAGCGCCGUCCCGCAAGCGGGUUUGCUGGGCCGAUGAGGGUCACACCGACACCGCCCGCGGCCUGGUGAAGCACGUCACGAACUUCUACAUGCCCAACACCUUCUCACGCGGCUCCCGUUACGACGCCGCCGACCAAGCUAGCCCUACGCGGCCGACCAACGCGACGGCCGUCAAUCCAACCCCACCCCUGUUCCGGGAGAAGGUGAACUCGGACGAAACCAGGUACAAGUUCUGUAAGGCGCAACGGCCAGCGCUGCAAUACGCGGAAUGGAGGCGGCAGCAGCAUGAGUAUGGCGCCACACCCUUCGAGCUUCAGCCGGUCGAUGCCGGACAGCUGACUGGCAGCGUGAGCAUCGCCACAAGGACUCUGUUUGGUGAGCUCUUCCAGCGCAGCGUCGUCGCCCGCGUGGCUGAAGGACAGGUGCGAACACGCAACGGAACGCACCACAACAGUCAAGACAACGGCUUCCAGCAGCCCUUCGUGCGCAUCGACGCGACGUUCGACGAGCCUCUCCCAAUCCCGUUGUAGUAACGGGGGCGUGUGGCGUUUGGCUCGUGUUUCCACUUUGUGUGCGCUUGGGGCCGCUUGCCGCCCGGGCUUGCCACGCCCCAUC
rnacentral:misc_RNA from 1 species